CUGUGGGAGCAGCAUCAAGCAAGACUUCGGGCAGUGAUUCUAACUAUUGCCUAUGAACACCGUGGCUGGGACGACUUUGACGAGGCAAUUUAUUACUUACGCAUAGAACACUGGCUGUGCUGAAACUGGGAGCGCAAACAGCCCCUUGUUUUCUAAUUUAGAGACUUGCAUCUUUUCGACACUCAACAGUAUCAAGACACUCUGCUACUACAGAUUGAUUUCCACCAUCAACACCUUUACCUCUUCCCGCCUGAAAAUAAAAUAUGAAAUAUAACAAGUAAAUCGCAAUCUACCUUGAAUCUUCUGGAGAGGAAAGAAGAAACCAUGUCUAGACAAGGUGCUGGAAAGACCCAGGGAAGACACAGGGAAAUCAUCUUUCGGGAAUUUAUCUAAGAAGAACUUCUUAUGAUAUAUGAAGUCUGGGGGUAAGACCUGCAGUAAUUUCCCUUAAGAUACUACAGAAUUUCCAAGGACUUGAGGAAUAAUUGCACUCUUGAAAGAGCCUAUGAAAAAAGAAGAGACUUGGGAAAUUUAACAGAAGUUCACUUUCCACCACUGCGCAAACUAAGGAAAAACUUAAAGCAGUAAAUAGCUGCGGUUGGCAAAGCUGUUUUGGCUCAGGAGCAGCUAUCAGGCCUUGAUAAGGUCCACAAGUCUGCUGUUCUAAAAUCAAAAAAAAAAAAAAAAAAAACAACCCU
rnacentral:lncRNA from 1 species